GAGCGACGUCUUUUGAAAAACAAGCACAAAUUAUUAGAACAAGUUCGAAAAUAGUUACGGCAUUUAGAGGAGCUUAUCAUAAGAUGCCAUGUCGUUUAUUCGUGCGUGUUUUCUUACAGAAAUUAAACAUUUUUAAAGUUGUAUUGUGGCGAUGGUCACGAAAGCGCUUUUCCUGCUCAGGCUGGUGGUGGGUUGUGAAAGCCAAAGCUUAUCCCCACUGCUGCACCGAGCGCAGAGCGGUAUGCUAACCAACGCUUAAGUUCUUUCUCAGACAGUAAUAGCCUCAAUUCUACUGGGAAUUACAAGACUCACAUUUUGAAAUGACUGACUUAUUACCCUAGCAGAAUACAGUGAGGAUUUGGGAUCUGGACUCCAAGCGCAUCACCCCUACGAUAAUGUAAAAUUGGGGAGUGAUAGGAAACAUCCCCUGAUGCCUACAGGUGGAUGUUGGGGUCGUAGAGGAGCUGGAACAGCAGGCAGUUUCAAAUGUGAGGUAGAUGUCCUCAUGUUUAGUGGUGAUGCAAAAAAAAGUUCCACUUGUUCUCAGCUGUCCACAAAACAGUUCAAACAGCCUUUUGGGUUGGAUGUUUGAGUCUAACAGGCUGCAGAUGGACAACAGAUCCCACUUAUGCCACCAGUAUAAUUCUGGCCUCUUAGGACAUGGACACAGGACCUCUGGUCGGUGGUGUCACUUAGUGUCUGACGCUUGGACACAUGGGAAAUUAUAUCCACUAUCAGCCAAAAAGAUGUGAAAUACAAAAUAGGCAUUGUUUUUAAAAAGAAUUGAUUGGCAAGGCAAAUGUCUCUUCAACUUUUAUAUAAUGUUAUAAUUUAAAGCUACAGUACAUUACUGUGUAAAAGCUCUUGAGCCACCUCUUCCCGUUUCUUUGUUUUUUGUGAAGAAAAUGGGAAAUGAGUACAAUGACUGAUUGAAAUGUGCAGACAUAAAUAAAUAAUACAGCA